AGCGCAGGCGGUUUCUUAAGUCUGAUGUGAAAGCCUUCGGCUCAACCGAAGAAGUGCAUCGGAAACUGGGAAACUUGAGUGCAGAAGAGGACAGUGGAACUCCAUGUGUAGCGGUGAAAUGCGUAGAUAUAUGGAAGAACACCAGUGGCGAAGGCGGCUUUCUGGACUGUAACUGACGUUGAGGCUCGAAAGUGUGGGUAGCAAACA
rnacentral:rRNA from 1 species